UACGGGGGGGGCAAGCGUUGUUCGGAAUUACUGGGCGUAAAGGGCUCGUAGGCGGCCAACUAAGUCGGACGUGAAAUCCCUCGGCUUAACCGGGGAACUGCGUCCGAUACUGGAUGGCUUGAGUAUGGGAGAGGGAUGCGGAAUUCCAGGUGUAGCGGUGAAAUGCGUAGAUAUCUGGAGGAACACCGGUGGCGAAGGCGGCAUUCUGGACCAUUACUGACGCUGAGGAGCGAAAGCCAGGGGAGCAAACGGG
rnacentral:rRNA from 1 species